CCCGCUCUUUAGCGAGCUAGUGGCUUACGCCGUAACUUGGUACAGUUUAUGUGAUAGUCACUCCGGUUCCAGUUCCCUCUUCCAGCGAUCUGUAGGAACGAGAGGGAUCUCUGCGGCAGGGCUGUGCCUGCUGCUCCCGCCCCAGCUCGGCUCCCCGAGCAGAGCGGUUCCUGCAGCCGACGUGCAGCAAAUACAGAAAGCUCGGUCCCCUGCAAGAGUAUUGCACCGCUGUGACCUCACUGUGCUGUUACACCCCCAGCAGAAUGUUUCUAGAUUGUCUCCAUGGCCACCGAGGAUGUGGUCAGUGACAGGCAACAUCCUGUAAAGGCACAUCUGCCCAGCUCAGAAAUAUCGAACACCGCAUAUUGUAGUGCUUUGCCUCUUCUGGAAAAGUGUAUGCUGCAGAGAAUCAUUACAGCUAUCCUAGAGCUGAGGAGGUGCCUCUUUACCCAAGGUUUCUUCCUUGAAUCCAAUUUGAAUUUAUUUUGCAUGAGAGCAAAAUCCAGCAGAGUGGGAUGA
rnacentral:lncRNA from 1 species